UACGUAGGGUGCGAGCGUUAUCCGGAAUUACUGGGCGUAAAGGGUGCGUAGGCGGUCUUUCAAGCCAGAAGUGAAAGGCUACGGCUCAACCGUAGUAAGCUUUUGGAACUGUAAGACUUGAGUGCAGGAGAGGAGAGUGGAAUUCCUAGUGUAGCGGUGAAAUGCGUAGAUAUUAGGAGGAACACCAGUAGCGAAGGCGGCUCUCUGGACUGUAACUGACGCUGAGGCACGAAAGCGUGGGGAGCAAACAGGAUUAGAUACCCUGGUCCCU
rnacentral:rRNA from 1 species